GCUUGGCUCUACAUUCAUUGUUGGAGGAAUCCAAGCCUCACAAAAGACUGCUUUUAAAGAAAAAAACUCUUUUUUUCUUAGAAGAACUAGAUUAAACUAAGAUCCUUUGCCAGUAAAAAGACAAACAAUAGAAAAUUCCUACAGAUUAAGAAUACCAACCAAGCUUUCAAUGAACUUACUUGCUUCAGCUCUGGGAGAACAGUUAUGACAUGGUGCUGAAUUACAUCAGUGAGCAACUAGAGGCAAGGAACCUGAGGUCCAGAGAUGUGAAGAGAGGUGGCCAAUGUCACACAGCAUGGCAGG